rnacentral:rRNA from 1 species
GUACCGUGAGGGAAAGGCGAAAAGAACCCCGGCGAGGGGAGUGAAAAAGAACCUGAAACCGUGUACGUACAAGCAGUGGGAGCACAGGUUUACCUGUGUGACUGCGUACCUUUUGUAUAAUGGGUCAGCGACUUAUAUUCUGUAGCAAGGUUAACCGAAUAGGGGAGCCGGAGGGAAACCGAGUCUUAAUUGGGCGUUAAGUUGCAGGGUAUAGACCCGAAACCCGGUGAUCUAGCCAUGGGCAGGUUGAAGGUUGGGUAACACUAACUGGAGGACCGAACCGACUAAUGUUGAAAAAUUAGCGGAUGACCUGUGGCUGGGGGUGAAAGGCCAAUCAAACCGGGAGAUAGCUGGUUCUCCCCGAAAGCUAUUUAGGUAGCGCCUCGUGAAUUCAUCUCCGGGGGUAGAGCACUGUUUCGGCUAGGGGGCCAUCCCGGCUUACCAACCCGAUGCAAACUGCGAAUACCGGAGAAUGUUAUCACGGGAGACACACGGCGGGUGCUAACGUCCGUCGUGAAGAGGGAAACAACCCAGACCGCCAGCUAAGGUCCCAAAGUCAUGGUUAAGUGGGAAACGAUGUGGGAAGGCCCAGACAGCCAGGAUGUUGGCUUAGAAGCAGCCAUCAUUUAAAGAAAGCGUAAUAGCUCACUGGUCGAGUCGGCCUGCGCGGAAGAUGUAACGGGGCUAAACCAUGCACCGAAGCUGCGGCAGCGACACUGUGUGUUGUUGGGUAGGGGAGCGUUCUGUAAGCCUGCGAAGGUGGCCUGUGAGGGUUGCUGGAGGUAUCAGAAGUGCGAAUGCUGACAUAAGUAACGAUAAAGCGGGUGAAAAGCCCGCUCGCCGGAAGACCAAGGGUUCCUGUCCAACGUUAAUCGGGGCAGGGUGAGUCGACCCCUAAGGCGAGGCCGAAAGGCGUAGUCGAUGGGAAACGGGUUAAUAUUCCCGUACUUGGUGUUACUGCGAAGGGGGGACGGAGAAGGCUAUGUUGGCCGGGCGACGGUUGUCCCGGUUUAAGCGUGUAGGUGUGUGUUCCAGGUAAAUCCGGUUCACUUUAACACUGAGGCGUGACGACGAGGCACUACGGUGCUGAAGCAACAAAUGCCCUGCUUCCAGGAAAAGCCUCUAAGCAUCAGGUAACAUCAAAUCGUACCCCAAACCGACACAGGUGGUCAGGUAGAGAAUACCAAGGCGCUUGAGAGAACUCGGGUGAAGGAACUAGGCAAAAUGGUGCCGUAACUUCGGGAGAAGGCACGCUGACACGUAGGUGAAGUGAUUUACUCAUGGAGCUGAAGUCAGUCGAAGAUACCAGCUGGCUGCAACUGUUUAUUAAAAACACAGCACUGUGCAAACACGAAAGUGGACGUAUACGGUGUGACGCCUGCCCGGUGCCGGAAGGUUAAUUGAUGGGGUCAGCGCAAGCGAAGCUCCUGAUCGAAGCCCCGGUAAACGGCGGCCGUAACUAUAACGGUCCUAAGGUAGCGAAAUUCCUUGUCGGGUAAGUUCCGACCUGCACGAAUGGCGUAAUGAUGGCCAGGCUGUCUCCACCCGAGACUCAGUGAAAUUGAACUCGCUGUGAAGAUGCAGUGUACCCGCGGCAAGACGGAAAGACCCCGUGAACCUUUACUAUAGCUUGACACUGAACAUUGAGCCUUGAUGUGUAGGAUAGGUGGGAGGCUUUGAAGUGUGGACGCCAGUCUGCAUGGAGCCGACCUUGAAAUACCACCCUUUAAUGUUUGAUGUUCUAACGUGGACCCGUUACCCGGGUUGCGGACAGUGUCUGGUGGGUAGUUUGACUGGGGCGGUCUCCUCCUAAAGAGUAACGGAGGAGCACGAAGGUUGGCUAAUCCUGGUCGGACAUCAGGAGGUUAGUGCAAUGGCAUAAGCCAGCUUGACUGCGAGCGUGACGGCGCGAGCAGGUGCGAAAGCAGGUCAUAGUGAUCCGGUGGUUCUGAAUGGAAGGGCCAUCGCUCAACGGAUAAAAGGUACUCCGGGGAUAACAGGCUGAUACCGCCCAAGAGUUCAUAUCGACGGCGGUGUUUGGCACCUCGAUGUCGGCUCAUCACAUCCUGGGGCUGAAGUAGGUCCCAAGGGUAUGGCUGUUCGCCAUUUAAAGUGGUACGCGAGCUGGGUUUAGAACGUCGUGAGACAGUUCGGUCCCUAUCUGCCGUGGGCGCUGGAGAACUGAGGGGGGCUGCUCCUAGUACGAGAGGACCGGAGUGGACGCAUCACUGGUGUUCGGGUUGUCAUGCCAAUGGCACUGCCCGGUAGCUAAAUGCGGAAGAGAUAAGUGCUGAAAGCAUCUAAGCACGAAACUUGCCCCGAG